rnacentral:lncRNA from 1 species
CGAGCCACAUGUAUGACCUAUGGUGCGGCUUGUGGUGACACCAGAUCCUUAACCCACUGAGCGGGGCUGGGGAUUGAACCUGCAUGCUCAUGGAUACUAGGCAAGUUCUUCACCUGCUGAGCCACAAGGGGAACUCCCAUUGGGUAUCUAAUUAAUUUUAGCUACCAAGCCUUCAGUUUCCUGAACUCUAUUUAAGGAUUAAGAACUAGUACAAACCAUAUCUGGUUAUUUUUCUAAGUUAAAUGUAUUGGCAUAUGCUACAUCUAGAAAUAUAUGUUUAACAUAAUACUCUCUAGUGGUUUUGGACAGUGUGUGUGUGUAGCGUGGUGAUGAGCUGUUGGCUAGUGUAUCUUAAAUACUUAGUAAGUGGUAUCUUACUGGAAUUACGAAUAAAGGUUAAUAAUCAAUCAACUGCACAGCGUCUGUGAAGGGUGGCGGUUGGGCAGUGGACGCAGGAGGAGGAAGACAGCUUCUUGGGGAGGAGAGGACACGUGAUAGGUCUCUGAAACACGAUUUUCUGUGGUAAGUGCAGAGUCCUUGUUUAUUAAAAGUGGUUGAGGGUUAGACAAUAUGUUCUUGAAUUUUCAAAGCUUUGGUUUUCAUUGGAAUGGGUAAGCCUUUAAAUUAAAUGCGGUUCACGCGACGUAAACAUCUAAUGCUUUCUUCAUCUCCUCUAUCUGCCGUCCUGGCACGUUGCCACGUCUCUUGAGGGUUUUGCUGAAGUACAGUUCUUGAAUCAUGAUUCACAGACACGGGGCUGUUCCAACCAGCGUUGGGCAGGAAGGAAGGUGCCCCGUCUGUCAGGCCUUUAGGGUGUCACCGAGGCCAUUCUUACCACUGAAUCCUAAAGACUGGGAACUAUCAACUCCUAGGCUGGAGCGACCUCGGUGCCAAGAGUAAACUGAUUGCUCAGUACAGUUAGGUGAGGGCUUGGUUGGAAAACAGAAUGACCUUCUGGAAAGGGCAGUUGAUCUCCGUUAGAACCUUACCUAGUCGACUUUGCUUUAAAUAACCUAAUCAACUUGGGCAAUCGUUGAUACUGAUAAUUACCUGAUAGAGGGUUAUUAGAAGAUGAGUUUGUUAAAACUCUGGUAGUUAUUCUGCCCUAAAUAUCCUUACAAAUCAAUGCUCAGUGACUUUCACCAUCUGCAAGUGAAAAGCCAAACAUUAUCAAGCAUGCACUGUGUUUAGGCUCUUUGAUAUAUGUUUAUUCUUCAUAUGGUCGAUGUGUGUCACGGCCCUAGAGAUGAUCAAACAGAAGCUCUCAAUAAGAGAUAUUUGCCCAAGAAGAUAACUUUUAGUGAGCAGACGUGGGACCAGUUUCUGACUGUAAGUCUAGAAUUUACUCUAUUUCCGCGAAGUCCUUCUCCUCAACGAAACUCUCUUCACAUGUUAGAUAUUUUAAAGCUGUUAGCUUUCUCCGUAUGUCAGCCUUCCGGUUAUUUUGCUGACACAGACCACUCACCAGGACUUAAUUUGCCUCUGACAAAAAUGAAAGUGUGCCUUCUACCCUUACGUUUUCCUCUUGCGGUAGGUAGGUAGAGGUCGGCGCGAACAUUCUACCGUUUAUUUCCUUGGUAAGAAUCCGUAGAAGACUUGCUCGAGAUUAUCCAGUACGUCAGCGUCUACAGCACUGUAUUCUCUCCUAAAAGCCAUUUCUUUGCACUUCCAUAACAUUCCUGUCAUUAUUCUUUGGUGCAUAAAGAUCAAGUGACAUCAGUUUUAUGGAAGCAUUACUCUCGUUUACUAAUUAAGAGUUCCACCAGGUUCCAUCUUAAAUACACAGGUUUCCUUGAAAUACGAACUUACCUGUGGCCAAAGUGUGUUCGUCGCUGUCUUCUGGUUCACACACCGCUCUGCAGUGUGGCACAGACAGGCUUCACAAACUCAAAAAGGUUUGAAAGUCCCUGUCUUGAUUGUCACAUCAUGAUUUUCCUUUUUAUAAGCCCUGGACUCAACUUGAACCACAGUCAGAAAACACGUGAUGAACUAGAUUUAUCUGCUGAAGCUAUCACAGCCAACACAUGUGAGCAAAGAACAUUUAAUUAAGGAAUAAGAUUAGUAAUAUUUUACCAAAAAUCCUCAAUAGCAGAAAUGGUUCCCAUGUUAAAAUUCUAAUGGGACAUUAUUUUUGAAUAUAUCUUAAGCCAUGGAUUACAUAAGUGAGGUUUUACAAUUUCUAAUCUUAUAAUGCCGAACACACACACACCUCUUCCCUCCGGAAAAGGACAAAACUCUUAAAUUUUCAAUGACUAGGUCUUAACUUGCUAGAAAAGUUGAUUUUGGGGACUGGUUGCAGUUUUUGUUAUUAUUCUAGAGAAAGAAAAUAUGUUCCUUAGCAAGUCUACUUUUGUUUCAUGCGUAUGAAAGAUGAAAUUUCACCAUUAUGGAUGAGAGGUUAAGGGAAAAAAACGAUUUAAGUCUGUGGGCUUUAAAGCCAGACAGACCGGAUUUGAUUCCUAGCUCUGUUGUCUCCUCACGGUGUGAACUUGGACAGACAUAUAACCUCAUUGAGUCUUAGUCAAGGGCAUGUCCAUGGGGCUAACACUGCCUACUUUCAAGAGUAGUCACGGGAUUAAGUGGGAUAAUCCGUAGAAAGUGUGUAGUGCCAUCCUUGACACCAGAGGUCCUCGAUAUGUAUCGGCAAUUACAGCAGGUGCUGAGGUGUGGCGCACAUGUUAGAAGAAAGCUGUCCACGCACUUUAGAGCCUAACACUGAAAAUCAAGGAAUGAAUACGUUACUGGUGGAGAAGAAGUAGGACAGCGCAUGCUUUACUGCUCCUUUGCAAACCCUUAAAUAGGUGCAGGCUGACUUAGAAAGGAAAGGAGUCUGGGGAUAAAUGCCAGUGAGUGGAGAUUUCAAGGAGUUAAGCCAACAUAAAUGAUCCAGCUCAUCGAAAAAGGACAUUGAGGCCGUAUUCCCUUUCAGAAUGAAAUACUGACACAUAUAUGUUUAAAAUGCAUAAAAUCUUUUUUGUUGGGGGGAGGGGUCUUUUUGGAGCGGUACCCACAGCAUCUGGAGGUUCCCCAGCUAGGGGCUAGGGGUGGAAUUGGAGCUGCAGCUGCCGGCCUACACCACAGCCACAGCAAUGCAGGAUCCGAGCCGUGUCUGCGACCUACACCACAGCUCGUGGCAACACUGGAUCCUUAACCCACUGAGCGAGGCCAAGGAUCAAACCUGCAACCUCAUGGUUCCUAAUUGGAUUUGUUUCUGCUGCGCCAGGAUGGGAACGCCAAUGCAUAAAAUCUUAAUUAUCCGCAUGUUCUUAGAAGCAUGGAAGGAUGACAUUAUGGAGCAGGGUUAUCAAAAAUAUAACAGACCGGCAAAGGGCUGCUAAAGCAGAAGACCUGCAGAAUGCGCUGAAAUUAAUUAUUUGAUGUCACAAUAAACUUUACCUGGAAAUUUAGAUAGUGUAGUUAUCAGAGUGUUGUGUAUAAUUUUAUGUAUGUAGUUUGAAACUUUAUCAGGUAAUAAUUUUCCAAUAUGGGCACCUACUACAUGUGAGUGUUAAAAUUAAUAUUUCAUUGAAAUUAAAUUAAAAAUCUAAUAUUGGUGAUCCUAAGUUAGAUCUUUAGUCACAAAAAGAGAGACUAUGAUCUCUUUUUCACACUCCUGAUUUGGGAAGGCUUUAGUAGGCGUCCAGCAGAACCGCAAAGCAAAAUUAUAUCUGAGUUGAUUUUGUCUCACAAGACAGUUGAAUUUUUGGACUGAGUUGCAAUAGAAUUUAGUGUUCUUUUAGAUUAAAUCCCUGAACCAUGAGGGACAGACUGGGCAAGUGAGUACUAAAAUGCCUCCUAGUGAUAAUAAAAGAAUUAAACAACCUUUAGAAAAGGUAGAAAUGCAUAGAAAUCUAAAACUUUGGGGUGAAUCUCAGUGUUGACGUUUGAUGCUGUCAUUAUAGGGAUUAUGUGUCCUAAGUGUAAAUGUUAUUUAUUUAAUCAUGAAAAUAUUUUUUUUUCAGUGGCUGUGGGUUUGAGACAGUAUUGAUAGGCAAAUAGUCCAAGUUUUGUUAAAUGAAUCACACUUGGAAUUUCUUUUCUUUAUAUCCCUACAUAAACAAAAAUUGUAUUUUGAAAUGUUUGUUCGGGUAAGUUUUCUGUAUUUAUCCCUUUCACAAACCAGUUUGUGGAGGCAAGUUUGAAUUUUGCAAAAUCAACAUAUAUCCAUGUACGACUCUUAGGUCUAAGUGAAAACUUGGUCAUCGCAUGUUUUUAUUUAACUGUGGAUCAAAGGGAAGUUCUGAGCUUGGUCCUUCCAUAAUGUUUAUCUAAAAGUAGGGAUCUGAUGGCAUCGAGUUUGUUUAUUUUCUGACCAUGUAAUUGAGGGACACCUAUUUCUUGUUCAACAACAAAAACAAUGAAUUUUGAGCAUCACACAUCAUUUUCGUUAUGCUAAAUGAUUAAUUUUUGAAACAAUGCUUUUGAGAGUUUUCUACCUGUUAUUCCUCCCCCCAAAAAGCAUUGUGCAAUAGAAUUCAUGAAUAAAAAAUGUUAGUAAUUUAUUGAUUUUUACCAAUAAAAUGGGUAUCCUGUAUCACUUUAAAAAUUUUAGUGAAAUCUUCUGUGAAGUGAAAUUAAAAUGGAUAAAGAUGGAUUGUCAGUCAUUACUUAAAAAUGACUGACUAGGGGAGCUCCCAUCGUGGUGCAGCAGAAACGAAUCCAACUAGGAACCAUGAGGUUGCAGGUUCCAUCCCUGGCCUCGCUCAGUGGGUUAAGGAUCCGGUGUUGCCGUGAGCUGUGGUGCAGGUUGCAGAUGUGGCUCGGAUCUGGCGUUGCUUGGCUCUGGAGCAGGCCCGCGGCAGCAGCUCCAAUUCAGCCCCUAGCUGGGACCCUCCAUAUGCUG